ensembl:lncRNA novel transcript
UUAAUUCCAGGCCUGCUGGAAUUAAUCUGAUCUGUUUUGCUAAAGUUUUUGCAAGGCACUGUCCUGGUCAAGGCAUGAAACACAGUGAUUAAGGAAACAUAGGGAUUAUAGUGCUGCCUUGUAGCCAGGGGUUUGAAGAGCUUGGGGGUGGUUUGUAUCAGCCUGUCACCAUUAUUUAUAACAAUUAAAUUGAUUAUUUGCUCCUGGUCUUGGUGAGACCAACUCCACUAAGAACGUCCUGCUAUUGAGGCUAGUUGUGGCAGGAAUAUGCCUAUGUGACAAGCAAAGUAUGAGAAACACCUGAGAUGCUAUGUUGGACCCUGAUUCCAAGAUGCUGUAUACACACAUCACUGGUUCUUGCUCUGGGUGGGGAUAGUGUGUCCAGCCACAGCCCUUACAAAAGGGAGGAUUGUGGGAGACUGCGCCUAGUUCUCCAGAGCCUUUGCUCUGAAAUACCGGUUGGCCGGGACACAUAUUCUUAAUUUAAUGCCAUUGCUGUAUUGAAUCCUUUUCUUGUAAUAAACGAGGUUUGUAAGCAUUGUCA